CGUCGUCUGUGUACCGUUUGUUUCGCCGGCGAAUCAUAGAGGGCGAACUACGGCGUCUGCUGGUCUGCUGCGCUCUGCACAUCGGUCCACAUUGCUCUACUCGCUCGAGCGGCUGGACGUUCUAGGUUUUCUCCGAAUAGGUUGCAGUUGCUGAUUGGCCAGUAUGGCUGGACCGACGCCAGUGCAGGUGCAUAUUGAGUACUGUGGUGGAUGAGGGUACGCCCCUCGCUUUCAGGAGCUAAGGAACCAAAUCCUUGUCAGAGUACCAACUGCCAACGUGACUGGCACAGUAGGACGCCAAACGUCCUUUGAAGUGACAAUAAAUAAUGUCCUGGUAUACUCUAAACUCGCAAAGGGUAACUUUCCUGACUUUGAAGAGGUUGUCCAGCGAGUACUCGAUGCCAGCCUUGGCAAGGGGGUGAAGCCUUGCGUGAAGCUUGGUGCGAGCGGCAACUGCUCUUUGUUAUAGCAUGGCACCUCAUUGGGUGCUCUAUGCGCAUUUGCUCUGCCAGUUGACCAUGCAGUUGGCCUUCCUGAACAAUAGCUGAAGGCUUUGGAAAGCGCAUUUAUGAUGGCUUGACCCCAAAUCUUGAAAGAGUCUUGCCUGAAGAGCCAGCGUGUUCCUGCCCGGCGCUACUUGCUGUGUGAAAGCCACUCAUGUAUGGACCUUGUGGAAGCUUUCUCCAUAGCAGUUGCAACUGAACGGCGAGGAUCCAUGGCUGGAGCGAAGCCAGUUAAAGUAGUCGUUGAGUAUUGUGGGGGAUGAGGAUACAUCUCUCGCUUCGAGGAUCUGAAAAAGCAGAUCCUCGCCAAGCUGCCAAAUGCCCAUGUGACUGGCACCGUAGGACGCAAAACAUCCUUCGAAGUGGAAAUCAAUGGUGUCCAGGUAUUCUCUAAGCUCCAAAAGGGUGCCUUUCCUGACUUUGGAGAGGUUGUUGCUCGAGCUGUGGAUGCCAGCCAAGGGAAAGCUGUACAGGCUGUAACCGGUGUGCAGAAGUAGUUCAGAGGAUGGCCCAUGGCUCGAAGGUCCCUGUCGGAGCCUUCCAGACAUGUGUCGACUAUACUCCCUCGUGCCUGUGGCCCACGCAGCAGCGCUGUCGUG
rnacentral:misc_RNA from 1 species